rnacentral:lncRNA from 1 species
GACUGCUAGGAUGGUCUGAGACCGCUGCGUGAGUGACUUCAAGGCCUCGACGGUAUAUGAGAAGGAGGUUGCCAACUGUUGGAGACCUAUAUGAGUAACAAAUCACAAAAAGAGGGGCAUCGAAAAGGUUUGGAGGUGCUAGGAACUAGGGGUGGACAAGAAAACCCUAGGUGCUAGGGUUUCUUCUUCUUUGGGAUUGACGGCUGGGAUUUUAUAAGUAAGAUGCUAGGGCGUGAGAGAGAGAGAGAAGAG